rnacentral:rRNA from 1 species
AGUGAACGCUGGCGGUAGGCCUAACACAUGCAAGUCGAACGGCAGCACAGUAAGAGCUUGCUCUUACGGGUGGCGAGUGGCGGACGGGUGAGGAAUACAUCGGAAUCUACUUUUUCGUGGGGGAUAACGUAGGGAAACUUACGCUAAUGCCGCAUACGACCUACGGGUGAAAGCAGGGGAUCUUCGGACCUUGCGCGAUUGAAUGAGCCGAUGUCGGAUUAGCUAGUUGGCGGGGUAAAGGCCCACCAAGGCGACGAUCCGUAGCUGGUCUGAGAGGAUGAUCAGCCACACUGGAACUGAGACACGGUCCAGACUCCUACGGGAGGCAGCAGUGGGGAAUAUUGGACAAUGGGCGCAAGCCUGAUCCAGCCAUACCGCGUGGGUGAAGAAGGCCUUCGGGUUAUAAAGCCCUUUUGUUGGGAAAGAAAAGCAGCAGGUUAAUACCCCGCUGUUCUGACGGUACCCAAAGAAUAAGCACCGGCUAACUUCGUG